rnacentral:rRNA from 1 species
UACGUAGGGAGCGAGCGUUGUCCGGAAUUACUGGGCGUAAAGGGCGCGUAGGCGGGAAAUUAAGUCAGGUGUGAAAACUCCGAGCUCAACUUGGAGAUUGCACUUGAAACUGGUAUUCUUGAGGGCAGGAGAGGAAAGUGGAAUUCCUAGUGUAGCGGUGAAAUGCGUAGAUAUUAGGAGGAACACCAGUGGCGAAGGCGACUUUCUGGACUGCACCUGACGCUGAGGCGCGAAAGCGUGGGUAGCGAACGGGAUUAGAUACCCCGGUAGUCCACGCUGUAAACGAUGGGUACUAGGUGUAGGAGGUAUCGACCCCUUCUGUGCCGCAGUUAACGCAAUAAGUACCCCGCCUGGGGAGUACGGCCGCAAGGUUGAA